GACGACUUCUAGUGCAACCCGCUUUCGUGAUGUGACGGGCGGUGUGUACAAGGCCCGGGAACGUAUUCACCGCGGCGUGCUGAUCCGCGAUUACUAGCGAUUCCAGCUUCAUGCAGUCAAGUUACAAACUGCAAUCCGAACUGAGAGCGGUUUUUUGCGAUUGGCUCCCCCUCGCGGGUUUGCAGCGCUUUGUUCCGCCCAUUGUAGCACGUGUGUAGCCCUGGACAUAAAGGCCAUGAGGACUUGACGUCAUCCCCACCUUCCUUCGGCUUGUGGCCGACAGUUUCUUUAGAGUGCCGCCUUGCGGCAUGGCAACUAAAGAUGAGGGUUGCGCUCGUUGCGGGACUUAACCCAACAUCUCACGACACGAGCUGACGACAGCCAUGCAGCACCUAUAUAGCGGCCCUUGCGGGCGCCAACGCUUCUGCUGACUUCCACUACAUUUCGAGCCCAGGUAAGGUUCUUCGCAUUGCAUCUAAAUUAAACCACAUGCUCCCCGCUUGUGCGGGCCCCCGUCAAUUCCU
rnacentral:rRNA from 1 species